rnacentral:sRNA from 1 species
UAAAUGCUAUCAAAGGGGAGGCAUCAAACCGCGACAGGUCCAGAUGAUCUCAAGCUUCUCAGAUGCAGGGUAUCUCAUUCGGGGUCGCCCCCACCGUUGUACAUGCUUUUUUUGAGCAGACGUAGUUCAAGCGUUUGUUCCGCAACCACUUCCUUGAGGUCCUUUGCCUCUCGGCGCAGUUCCUUCACCUCAUCGGUGUUUGCAGCACGCGCCGUGUCCCCAGCAAGCCGCUUCUUACCGGCUUCCAUAAAGUCCUUGGACCAUUUGUAAUAGAUGCCCUGUGAUAUACCUUCACGGCGACACAGUUCAGCAAUGCUGUACU